GACAGAGGGUGCAAACGUUGUUCGGAAUUACUGGGCGUAAAGCGCGUGUAGGCGGCCCUGCAAGUCGGAUGUGAAAUCCCACGGCUCAACCGUGGAAGUGCAUUCGAAACUGCAGGGCUAGAGUCCUGGAGAGGAAGGUGGAAUGCUUGGUGUAGAGGUGAAAUUCGUAGAUAUCAGGAGGAAUACCGGUGGUGUAGACGGCUCUCUGGACCGCCACUGACGCUGAGGCGCGAAAAGCCAGGGGGAGCAAACGGGGAU
rnacentral:rRNA from 1 species